AGUUUAAAGCAACUAUUUUAAAUGUACCCUGCCCAGUGAUUUUUUAAAUGGCCGCAGUACCUUGACUGUGCUAAGGUAGCAUAAUCAAUUGGCUUUUAAUUAAAGUCUGGAAUGAAUGGAAUUAUGAAAUUAAGACUGUCUUAUAAGUAUUAAUAUAAACUUAUUUAUCAGGUGAAAAUACCUGUAAGCAGAAAAAAGACGAGAAGACCCUUAGAGUUUUUACUAUAAUAUACUACUAAUGUUUUUGUUGGGGCGACAAGUAAACAAACUUAACUUUACGUUAUAUUAUAUUACGAUUUUUAUAAAUAAAUUUUAAACUACCUGAGGGAUAACAGCAUUAUCAAAUAAUUAGAUUGUGACCUCGAUGUUGGACUAGGAACUUUAUGGCUAACCGUCAAAAUAGAUUUGUUCUGUUCGAACAAUAAUAUCCU
rnacentral:rRNA from 1 species